UACGUAGGGGGCAAGCGUUGUCCGGAAUAAUUGGGCGUAAAGGGCGCGUAGGCUGCAAGGCAAGUCAGCAGUGGAAGUCCCAUUUUCAAGGUGGGGAGGGCUGUUGAAACUGCGUUGCUUGAGUGCAGGAGAGGUUAUCGGAAUUCCCGGUGUAGCGGUGAAAUGCGUAGAGAUCGGGAGGAACACCAGUGGCGAAGGCGGGUAACUGGACUGCAACUGACGCUGAGGCGCGAAAGUGUGGGGAGCAAACAGGAUUAGAUACCCUGGUAGU
rnacentral:rRNA from 1 species